CCGUAACAAAAUGUUGGAAAAAGAAGCAGCAUUUUGCUCUUUUUGUGGAAAUGAACUAAGUUUUACGGACAGGUAUUGUUUCAAAUGCGGAUCUAAAGUAGAAGCAAAAUUGUCGUUAUGAAAUCAGGCGAAGACAUUAGACCAGUACAUGUCUAUAAAGGAAGAAUGUAGAGUAGGAUUUAACAUGAAGAUCUCGAGCUCGUCAUCGAAAAGGAAAUCAACUAGCCAAUGUCCACCUUCAAAAAAGCCUGUGGAUAAUCGUGUUGUGAUACAGGUAGACAUUAUCACCGAAAUGGAGGAAAUCAAAAUGCUAAAGCUUAUGAUGGGAAAGAGUUUUUCCUCAAAAUUUACAGACAUAAACUAAACAUGUUGAGCUGUGUUAUACCUGAGCUUGAUGAAGGAAAAAUCUGUCCUGCUUGUCACAAAACUGAUGGUGUGAUCUUUGAGUCUCUUGAUGCUUUAUUUAUUGGACAAAGGAAAAAGCUGAGCAGAGUCUUGGAAAACCUCUGUUUGGACAGCUGAUGUUCUAUGAUCAGAAACUUGUUGAUCAAUUUGUUGCCAAUUAUACCACACCUACAUCAAACAAGGAAUGUCAUGGUUUUCUUGCUGGGAAUGCUGUUCGAUCAAAAAAUCGCUACAAAGCUCUUGAUGAAACAGCAAUCUUUGGGCGAGGCUCUCAACAUGACUUUCCUAAAAAAUUCUUAAAUUUGAAACAUGGAGAGAGAUUGAGCUAUGCAGUUUAUGUUCUCCAAGAAUUAGAGAAAGAUAAUGCUGAUAAUCCUGCACUCAAAAUAAACAUAUUGUAUGAUGCUGCAUGCAUGUUGGUGAAACACUUACAGGUUAAAUUUAGUCCCCAUCGUAAAGAAAGAUUUGGCCUAACUGACGGUGAGAUGUUGGAGAGAUUUUGGUCUUACAUUCGCAAAUUUAACAGAAUGAAUAAAGAAAUGCGUCCAAGUCACAGAGUUGAUGUACUCAGUGAUGCUCUUUUACAUUAUGGAAAGAAAACUAAGAUUAAUUUAGCUAAAGCAAGUUUUUCUUCUUUGUUUGAACAUAUACAUAGCUAACAUGUCAUCAUAUUAUGUAAUAGCAGGUAUGAAUUAAAUUUUGUUUUUUGAGGCAAUUUGCUGAUGGUAAUGAUGAAGCGAGCUGUUGAUGUGGAAGAAACUGCAAAAUCAGAUAUUGAAAAGUUAUGCAGGAUUUCAAUAGAUGAUAUUCGUAAGUAGAUGAAGGACAAAUCGACUAUUUUUGGUCGUGAAGUUGAGACUGCUAUAGAUUUAUGCCAUUUGCUUCACCGAUCCAAGGAAGAGCAAAUCCUAUUGAAGUCAGAAAUGGAAAAUACGUGGAGUCACUACUUUCAGCAGCACGGCAAAAUUACUGACUUUUUGAAUAGUUUUAUUAACCAUAAAAACGUACUUGAUGUUGAAAUAUGGUAAAGCGAUAUUUUUACACACGACUAUGAAAUCACCA